GCUGGACAUCAUGGUAUACAUCUACAAUUUUAGCUUCUGAGAAGGUUGAGGCUAGAGAAUCUCUUGAGCUCAGGAGUUCUGAGCUAUAGCUAAUCAAGUAUCUACACUAAAUUCAACAUUCAUAUAGUGAGCCCCCAGAAGUAAAAGACCACCAGGUUGCCUAAGAAGGGGCAAACCAGCCCAGCCCAGAAAUGGAACAGGCCAAGGCUUCUGUGUUGAUCAGACUGGGAUCUGGCUUCUGCACAUCCAGCUUGGGUGAGAUAGGAAGAUCUAGUCUUUA
ensembl:misc_RNA Metazoa_SRP Metazoan signal recognition particle RNA